AACCAGGCGAACUGAAACAUCUUAGUAGCCAGGAGAAAAGAAAACAAAAGUGAUUCCCGUAGUAGCGGCGAGCAAAAUCGGA
rnacentral:ncRNA from 1 species